rnacentral:rRNA from 1 species
UACGUAGGGGGCAAGCGUUGUCCGGAUUUAUUGGGCGUAAAGAGCUCGUAGGCGGUUCGGUAAGUCGGGUGUGAAACCUCCAGGCUCAACCUGGAGACGCCACCUGAUACUGCUGCGACUCGAGUCCGGUAGGGGAGCGUGGAAUUCCUGGUGUAGCGGUGAAAUGCGCAGAUAUCAGGAGGAACACCAGCGGCGAAGGCGGCGCUCUGGGCCGGAACUGACGCUGAGGAGCGAAAGCGUGGGUAGCAAACAGG